rnacentral:rRNA from 1 species
AUUGAACGCUGGCGGCAGGCUUAACACAUGCAAGUCGAGCGGAGAGAGGUAGCUUCCUACUGAUCUUAGCGGCGGACGGGUGAGUAAUGCUUAGGAAUCUGCCUAUUAGUGGGGGACAACAUUUCGAAAGGAAUGCUAAUACCGCAUACGUCCUACGGGAGAAAGCAGGGGAUCUUCGGACCUUGCGCUAAUAGAUGAGCCUAAGUCGGAUUAGCUAGUUGGUGGGGUAAAGGCCUACCAAGGCGACGAUCUGUAGCGGGUCUGAGAGGAUGAUCCGCCACACUGGGACUGAGACACGGCCCAGACUCCUACGGGAGGCAGCAGUGGGGAAUAUUGGACAAUGGGCGCAAGCCUGAUCCAGCCAUGCCGCGUGUGUGAAGAAGGCCUUAUGGUUGUAAAGCACUUUAAGCGAGGAGGAGGCUACUUUAGAUAAUACCUAGAGAUAGUGGACGUUACUCGCAGAAUAAGCACCGGCUAACUCUGUGCCAGCCGCCGCGGUAA